rnacentral:misc_RNA from 1 species
GUGAAUCUUCAGUACCAAGCUCUCCAGAUGAUGUCACAAAGGAGCCAGAUUCUAUUUCCUUUGCAGUUUUGAGGAGAGACAUGGCAACACAAAUGAGCUCUGAUGACAGUACACAUACAUCUCCCCAGGAAAGGUCAUCUUCAAUCCCUCCUGGAGUGGAGCAGAGCAGGCAGCAUUCCACUAAAGUCGAGAUUAGAGACGUGCAGG